AAAAUAAGUUGUCUAGCUGAAAAACCAACAUGCUUUUGAAAAGAGAUGACUUCCAACUUUUCUUUGAAAAAAUUCACUGAUCAUAACUAGUUUUUGAAAAAAUGUGUAUACACCUGAAGGGUGAAUGCUGUGAAAUUUUCCCGAGUACCCAAAAUGGACUAGGAUGAAUGCAAAAAUUGGUAAAAGAACAUAUUUUGGAAACAUUGGGUUGACUAAAAAUAAAGGAAAUGAAUCCUGAGCCCUAGCAUCACAUGACCAUAAAAAUUUGACACUUGAGUGUCCGCGUAGGUGCAUGCAUGACCAGUUUUGCAUAAAAUUUCCAAAUCAUCAUUUUUGCAUUUGUGUCAUGGAAAUAAUGUGGGGCAUCCCUUUUAUCCUUGAGCCAAACCAAACCCCGAC
rnacentral:lncRNA from 1 species